rnacentral:rRNA from 1 species
UACGGAGGGUGCAGGCGUUAAUCGGAAUUACUGGGCGUAAAGCGUGCGCAGGCGGUUUGUUAAGUCCGUUGUGAAAGCCCCGAGCUCAACUUGGGAAUUGCAGUGGAUACUGGCAGGCUGGAGUACGGUAGAGGAAGGUGGAAUUCCCGGUGUAGCAGUGAAAUGCGUAGAUAUCGGGAGGAACACCAGUGGCGAAGGCGGCCUUCUGGACCAGUACUGACGCUCAUGCACGAAAGCGUGGGGAGCAAACAGG